UAUGUGUCAACCAUAAUUAACUCUCCCAUUGUUGCUCCACUUUGCUGAUUUUGCCAGGCAGCGAGGAACUGAAACCGCAGCACCCUGCUUGGCUGCUGUGAAGAGGCCAUCAACACGUUAGUUUGUUCAGUGGUUUAUUCGGUCUUCAGCUCCCUCAGAGUGGCUGCAAUCAGCGAAGCACCCGGCUGAGCGAGCGCCUGGCUGAUCACACAGCUGCUGCACCUCUCAACAUGUUCAUUUCCCGAGUCUGUUGGGGUUACGUGGAGACAGAUCUAUCCCCUCAGACCUGUCAGUGCGAUAGAGGAUACGGAUCUUACAACUCAUCAAAGAACACCACUGGUGUGAGAGGUUCUCUGCCUACUAAUAUCGGAGGAGGAGAAACAGCAGGCUGCUACCACUUCAACUUUAGGACAAAAAAAAACACCAUUUGAAGUUUAUUUUGGCUACUCGGGUUUCCGGUUCCGGCAGAAGCAUCUCAGGAAAGGCAACAAAGGGGAGGGAGUCAGGUCGCUCGGGCAGCAGCCUAACCUCUUGGGCCAGCUCCUUCGGGGAAUCGUAAGGCGAUCUUCCAGGCCAGAACGAGAAACACAGUCCCUCCUGGGUGUCCUGGGUCUUCCUUUAUGUCUCCUCUGAGUUAGAUGUGCCCGGAAAACCUCACCAGGGAAGCGUCCAGGAGACAUAUGCUCGAGCCAACUCAUCUGGCUCCUCUGGAUAUGGUGGAGGAGUGGGAUGCCUCCCACCUCCCGCCUUCCCGGGAGGAUGCCAUGCCUGGCAGCUCCACACAUUUGGACCUACCCAUGCUGACUCGCGACGGGAAAGGCUGUUGUUAGUUUAGCAACCAGGGAACAGCAGAGAACACACAAGCUAGUAGAAGCUAACUGUUAGCAUUAGCAGAACUCCUACAGGCUUGUGUUGUUUGUGGAGAUAAAACGUCAACAUUGCUAAGCAAACAAUCAGAGGUAGAGUUGUGUUGCUGUUAGCCAAUCAGAGGCGAGAUGUCCAAAUAUCAGGAAAUAAGACUCAUUACACAUCUGCCAUGUUCAGCUCAACUCUGAUCUGGCUCACUUCUAGUUCCUGAAACAGGUGCACCAGCACUUUUGUUCCCCCCAGAUUACAACCCUACAAGGUAUUUGUUCCUACUAGAGACUAAAAUAUGAGUAAAUCUGAUCUUUAAGGAUAUACAGUGAGUUAGUUUCCUAAAGAUAAAAUGUUUCUCAUCUUGAGCCUGUUCUAGUUGCACCUGAAAAAGCCAAAGUAUUCAUGUUAAACUGUUUUAUCAACAGUAUUAUAGUUUUUUAUUUCAUUUUAUACAUUUUUAUGUUAUCUGAGAAUACCUUGUUGUAGAAUUUACUGUAGGUAAAGUUUUAUUUUGAAUGUCUUUAAAACUGUACACGUUUACACCAAAGAAAACCUUUUUACUUUGUUCCAUCAAAGCACCAAGAAUGAACCGAACUGUGAUUAUAAGUGUUCCCUUACAACCCUAGUAACAGUUAAUUCAAAUGUUAGAGGAUUCAAAAAUGUCAUGAACACAUUUUCUCUGAUUUGAAAGUAAAUACUGUGCCAGCAAGUAUAGACGACUCCCUUUCGCAAGGGCUGGUAUCCAGCAUGUUUUAGUUGUUUCCCUGCUUCGACACACCUGAUUUUAAACAGCAGGUGAUUAACAGGCUUCUGCAGAACUUCAUGAGCUACUGAACAAGUGAAUCAAGUGUGUUGGAGCAGGGUAACACCUGGAUGGCGGUCCUCGGGGAUAGGAGUCUCCCACCCUUGCUAUCACGUAAGCAGCUGCAGAACAGCUGAAAUGAUUCUAACUUUUAACUUUUAAGCAGUUCUGGCCAAAAACUCAGGCACACACACCUUCAUGUAAUGCAACAGAAUUAUGGGCUUUUCCUGAGAGACUCCAGAGGAAUGAUGCUAAUGUGUUUGCUCACCUCAGUCCACAGAGCUCAGCCAGCAGAACUAACUCUGUUCCUCGGGAGUGUUUGGCACAGAAACGCUGAAUGUGACUAAUGUUCGAAGUGAGUGGGUGUGUGUAAGUUGUGGCUUGUGAGGCAGCAGCCACGAUGCCUUGUGACAGCUUGUUAGGACAUCACACAGGCCUGGCAGAAAGGGUUGUGCAUGAAAACCUCUGAGAGAGACGCAUGCACGUGCACACACACAUGCACAUGCACACACACACCAAAUCCCUUAAAUGGUGUCUUUAUUUAAACUACUGAGCAAACCACACAUUUCAGUCUACAAAAAUCAACCUUAAAUUGUACAAAACUGAAAGAGGAUUAUGACCUAUGUGAAGCUAAAACAUUUUAACGUCUGAUCCAUGAGUCACAUUCCAGCGCCACACUAUGUGUGUGUGUAUGCAUGUGUGUGUGGGUUAAAUACAGUGAACCCAAGACAAAUCUGAUGCAGAGCUUCAUGUAUAGAGGUACAAGUGGUGCAAAAAUGGUGCGUGUGAUCAUCAUGAGAAAAAUCCAGAACACUCCCAUCUUUCACUGGCACAAAACAGGCAUUACGAUUUCCCCCCAGUUGAUCCAAAACAAUACUUGUGCUUAUUUUUGUCACCGACAGACCCAAAACGACCGUUACUCCACAGAUUCUUCAGGGGCAGGGGCACAGAUUCUGUUCAAUAUAAAGUCAUAAAAUAUAAAAGUCAUGCUUUCAUCACUUUUGCUUCACUUAGUUCAGAAUAUUUGGAGCAUUACUAAUUCAAACACCAGGAUAAAACAUCUUUUUUUUCUUUAAAGGAACAAUAAGUAAGAAUGUUACAGGGACGUAAUCACAGAACAGGAACAGGAAGGAAGGUUGCAUUGAAACAGAUUGCUGGGGGGGGGUCAUUAAUUUUUCUCCCUUUAAAAACUUUGAAAGAGGACGCAGUCAUUGUUUACAAUCUGUGAGCCCACCGGUUUGCCAAAGUCUGCGUCGGGCCAACGCCGGAGCAGCAGUGUUUAAUUCAAAGCUCCAGAGUUGUUUAAAGUGGCAGUGUGUAUUUUUACCAUCAAGCUCUGGAAAUAUUCAACGAACUGCUGUUGAAAAUGAAAAUGAAUAAAAUGAUGUCCAGUUGUUAUAAAAUAUUGGAGACUUUGUAACAUAUAACCAUAAAAAUUGGGUCUAAAGUACUUAGGGUGCAGGUCUAGCAUCUUUGGGUGAUGCCAUAUUAGAUGCCAUGUUUCCUUCUGGCAUCGCACUAGAUGAAUGGCUGGAUGUACAACUUAGUACGUAGUUACGUUACCAUGAUCAAAAACAUUUAGGUAGUAAGAAACACAAAUUUAAUAGCAAAACUGCUAAACUCUUUCCAAAACCUAUGUGAAGGACCAGAAUCAAAAAAGAGAAGCAAUGUAUUUAGGCUGAGCGGUAUUGCUGUAGUAUGAUGAUGUCAUCGGCAGGCGCAGGACCCCGAGCAGAUCCGAAAACUACAGCGCCAAAAAACUAGCAUCAGCAUUGCACUCUCUUGAUGGAAUUAACUGAAGGGCCAUUAAAGUCUGAGGAAUCGUGCUGCGGUUGCAUGCUUUCUGCUUCACAGGUAACAACAUCUACGGUCAUGUUUCUAAAACUAGCAGCAGUCAACAGUGGGUGGUUUUUUUCUGUACCCACCGUGUUACCUCUGGAGCAACAACACGGGGUAAGUUCAUUUAUAGACACUUCCAACCAGUUUUCUGCUCCACAAACAAAAAGUCCACAAUCAUAGUGAAAAAACACACAAACCACAAGACAGCUAUAAAUACUCAUGCAGAAGAACAGAAAUCCAAACAUGUCUCACAGCAGCAGGAGAUGCAGAAGCUGGCCUAGUGAACAAUUAGCUCUUUCACAGCUCCUCCUCCCUGCAGGAGGCCUGCAGAAAUCUUUAGGUUUCUCCUUCGAUCCCUGACGCAGCAGAUGGGUACGUCUACUUCUGACACUCUGCUUAUCAUGUUUUUUUUCUCUCUCUCUCUCAAACAAACGUUUUUGCUGAAGUCCCUUAAUCUUCUGCACAGAAUGAAGGGAGCUGAGGUUUCACCACAGCUGUGCUCUACAGAAAAGAAGUGAACUUAUGAACAUUUGAAGUCCAGAGGUCGUUUGGACAAAUAUGCACAAACGCAUUUAUGAAGAUUUAGAGUUUUACCACAAAUGUUUAAUCUGUGCAUGAUGCUGACUGGAGCAAACAAUAGUUCUUCCUUCACACAGGUGAGGGAAGGUAGAAGGUUGGUUGACAAACUGAAAAGAUGCAUUUGUAACAUUGGCGAGACAUGUUUGAUCCUUCAGGAUCCUAAAACGUCUUUAUUCUCCUUCUACACUGCAGCUUACUCCCUGUGUGUUGGUUCUAAACCAUCAUCAGCUGACUUCUGCUGUAGCUACGCUUCAGGACCAAAGGCCAGCCUCAGCACCGCUCCCUGCUGACUGGGUCAUCGUCAGCAUGCUGCAGUCACCCAGACACAAUCUAGCUGCUGUAGAGAACCUCGUCUGGAUGACACACCAAGGACUCAGCCUUCUCUCAGAAAACGGUUUCAUGAGCAACAUCAUCUUUUAACAUGACAUGUGAGUGUGUGUGUGAACAGCUGGUGCUCCCACUCACCGGCUGUUUCACUGCAGGAUGUUUUCUGAUAACAAACUGGCCCUCCUCCCAAUUAGACGAGACUGCUACAGUCUUUCAAAGAGAGGAAGCAAGCUUUACCCCCCGCCGCCCUCUGGAGACCACCUACAGUCACUGCGGCUAGCAUUUAUGUUUAUUAGUGAUGGAAUUUUACCCACAUUAGGCAUUUUUGGGAGGGGGGGGGGGGUAUGUACGUUGCUGAUGUUCAUUUAAGAUGCGGCGCUACAAACCGGUUGGGGUGGAGUCAUGGGACCUUGUGACUCCACCCCAUCCAGCCUGUAACAAGAAGGGAAAGACAGUGAGGAUUAGGAAUGGGUACCGAAUUCUGUACUUUUUAAGGUGCCGACCGAAUUCCACAGUACCGACCGAGCACCGAUUCACUUCAUUUGAAACGGAGCCUCGUUUCGGUACCCGUCCUUCACAACGAGAACUUGCCAAGACAGCUGCGCAUGCGCAACAGCCUUACGUCAUCGGUCGAUGCGAGCCAGUUGUAAACAGAGCAACAUGGGAGAAAGAACGAACGCUAAAGCUUGGGUCUACUUCACUAAAUGUGAUGGGUAACUGGGUGAUGAUGAAACCAGCGACAACGAUCUAAGUGAGACAUCCUCAUCUUAAUCUGCUCCGGUAGGUAAAUAAAAUGUUUAAGAUAACAUUAGCUUGAUUUGUUAGUUUCCGUUUCGCUAAUGGUGCGUUCGCUUUCUUCUCGGAACUCCCGAAAUUCUGACUAGAAGAACAUGAACGUGCUUUAAAGUUUGGCUUCACUUUACUAAAUGCGACGGGUGAUUGGGUGAAGACGAAACCAGUGACAACGAUCUAAGUGUGAGGCAUCAUAGUUUUAAUCUGCUCCAGCAGUUAAAUAAACUGUUUAAGAUAACGCUAGCUUGUUAUGUUAGCUUCCUAUGCCACCAUUGUUAUUAUCUAAUGGUGCGUUCGCUUUCUCCUCGGAAAUUCUAACUUCCCAGUAGGAAAAAUCAAAUGAAAAAGGACGGUAAAAGGAAUGAAGAUACACAGUAAAUUUAGUUCACAGUAAAGAUGUUUGCUUCAGUUUAAUUAUCAGCUUAUAAAACUACAAGGAUGAUGUUAAAAUACAAACAGUUGUAUGUUAUUAAUUGUGAUAUUUAUCAAAUAUGGUUAUAUAUUGAGAAAAAUAGAUAUUUAAUUAUAAAAGAGAAUUAAAAAUAUUAAACACUCAAAAGUAUCGAAAAUUGGUACCGUUAAGUACCGGUAUCGAUUCCUAGGUACCGGGAAUUAGUACCGGAUCGAUUCAAAUGUCAAAGGUACCCAUCCCUAGUGAGGACGAUUCAAAUAUUGAAAGGGUGGGCAACCGUGUAGUGUGUAGCAACCAUCGGAAGUGACUACAUUUAAAAAAGUUUUCCAAUUUCUAUUUUUGUGGGAAAAGACUCUUCAACCAAAUCUACCACUGUCACCAUUCCCUCUAACCGCAGCUGUGCUGUUGAAUAUCGUCCAUUUAUAGUUAUUGUGGUGAACUGCUCAACACACACUGUUGGGCCAAAAACAAAAAAAAGGUCACACACUAAUAUUUUGUUGCAACCACAUUUAGCUUUGAUUACAACACACAUUCACUGUGGCGUUGUUUCAAUAAGCUUCUGCAAAGAUUUAUUUCCAUCCACAACGAUCUUGCACUGAUAUCUGACCGCUGCACAAAGUCUUCUCCAGCACAUCCCAAACAUUCUCAAUGGGGUUAAGGUCUGGACUCUGUGAUGGCCAAUGCAUGUGUAAAAAUGAUCCCAUGCUCUCAGAACCCCUCUUUCACUAUCUGAGCCCGAUGAAUCCUGACAUUGUCAUCUUGGAAUAUGCCUGUGCCAUCAUCCUGGUCAUUCAGGAUACUCAGGUAGUCAGCUGACCUCAUUUUUGGAGCACAUCCUGUUUCUGAACCUAGACCUGACCACCUGCAGCAAGCCCAGAUCAUAGCACUGCCCCCACAGGCUUGUACAGUAGACACUAUGCAUGAAGGGCGCAUCACUUCAUCUGCCUCUCUUACCCUGAUGCACCAUCACUCUGGAACAGGAUCCAUCUGGACUCAUCAGACCCGUUUUUAAUAAAGCAUUGGACAGUU